rnacentral:rRNA from 1 species
CAGCAGCCGCGGUAAUACGGAGGGAGCUAGCGUUGUUCGGAAUUACUGGGCGUAAAGCGCACGUAGGCGGCUUUGUAAGUUAGAGGUGAAAGCCUGGAGCUCAACUCCAGAAUUGCCUUUAAGACUGCAUCGCUUGAAUCCAGGAGAGGUGAGUGGAAUUCCGAGUGUAGAGGUGAAAUUCGUAGAUAUUCGGAAGAACACCAGUGGCGAAGGCGGCUCACUGGACUGGUAUUGACGCUGAGGUGCGAAAGCGUGGGGAGCAAACAGGAUUAGAUACCCCUGUAGUCCCUGUCUCUUAUAC